rnacentral:rRNA from 1 species
UUAAGUGAAUAAGGGCGCACGGUGGAUGCCUUGGUACUAGGAGCCGAAGAAGGACGGAACUAACACCGAUAUGCUUUGGGGAGCUGUAAGUAAGCUAAGAUCCAAAGAUUUCCGAAUGGGGGAACCCAACACCUUUCAUAGGGUGUUACCAAUGAGUGAAUACAUAGCUCAUUAGGAGGUACACGCAGGGAACUGAAACAUCUCAUUACCUGCAGGAAGAGAAAGAAAAAUCGAUUCCCUGAGUAGCGGCGAGCGAAACGGGAGGAGCCCAAACCAACGAGCUUGCUUGUUGGGGUUGUAGGACUAGAACGUGAGAAGAAAUCAAGAUAGCAGAAGUGGUCUGGAAAGGCCCAUCAAAGAAGGUGACAAUCCUGUACGCGACAUUUUGAUGAACUCUACUAGCAUCCUGAGUACGGCGGGACACGAGGAAUCCCGUCGGAAUCCGCCAGGACCAUCUGGCAAGGCUAAAUACUACCUAGUGACCGAUAGUGAACCAGUACCGUGAGGGAAAGGUGAAAAGAACCCCGGGAGGGGAGUGAAAGAGUACCUGAAACCGUGUGCUUACAAGUAGUCAGAGCCCGUUAAUGGGUGAUGGCGUGCCUUUUGUAGAAUGAACCGGCGAGUUACGUUUACAUGCGAGGUUAAGAUGAAGAGUCGGAGCCGUAGCGAAAGCGAGUCUGAAUAGGGCGCAUGUAGUAUGUGGACGUAGACCCGAAACCAAGUGAUCUACCCAUGUCCAGGUUGAAGGUGCGGUAAAACGCACUGGAGGACCGAACCAGGGCACGUUGAAAAGUGCUUGGAUGAGGUGUGGGUAGCGGAGAAAUUCCAAUCGAACUUGGAGAUAGCUGGUUCUCUCCGAAAUAGCUUUAGGGCUAGCCUCGGAAUCAAGAAUCGUGGAGGUAGAGCACUGUUUGGACUAGGGGCCCAUCUCGGGUUACCGAAUUCAGAUAAACUCCGAAUGCCAUGUAUUUAUAUCCGGGAGUCAGACUGCGAGUGAUAAGAUCCGUAGUCGAAAGGGAAACAGCCCAGACCACCAGCUAAGGUCCCAAAAUAUCUGUUAAGUGGAAAAGGAUGUGGGGUUGCACAGACAACUAGGAUGUUGGCUUAGAAGCAGCCAUCAUUCAAAGAGUGCGUAAUAGCUCACUAGUCGAGUGACCCUGCGCCGAAAAUGUAACGGGGCUAAACAGAUUACCGAAGCUGUGGAUUGGACCUUAUGGUCCAGUGGUAGGAGAGCGUUCUAAGGGCGGUGAAGCAUGAUCGUAAGGACAUGUGGAGCGCUUAGAAGUGAGAAUGCCGGUAUGAGUAGCGAAAGACGGGUGAGAAUCCCGUCCACCGAAUAACUAAGGUUUCCUGGGGAAGGCUCGUCCUCCCAGGGUUAGUCGGGACCUAAGGCGAGGCCGAUAGGCGUAGUCGAUGGACAACAGGUUGAUAUUCCUGUACUUCUAUAAAUCGUUUGAGCAAUGGAGGGACGCAGGAGGCUAAGAAAAGCGUACGACUGGAAGUGUACGCCCAAGCAGUGAGUCGGCUGAUGAGUCAAAUGCUUAUCACGGAUGCGACAAGCUGUGACGGGGAGGGAAGUUUAGUACCGAAGUUUCUGAUGUCACACUGCCGAGAAAAGCUUCUAGCAAGAUUUAUAGGACCCGUACCGCAAACCGACACAGGUAGUUGAGGAGAGAAUCCUAAGGUGAGCGAGCGAACUCUCGUUAAGGAACUCGGCAAAAUGACCCCGUAACUUCGGGAGAAGGGGUGCUGGUAGCAAUACCAGCCGCAGUGAAUAGGCCCAGGCGACUGUUUAUCAAAAACACAGGUCUCUGCAAAAUCGAAAGAUGACGUAUAGGGGCUGACGCCUGCCCGGUGCUGGAAGGUUAAGAGGAGAGGUUAGCGCAAGCGAAGCUUUGAAUUGAAGCCCCAGUAAACGGCGGCCGUAACUAUAACGGUCCUAAGGUAGCGAAAUUCCUUGUCGGGUAAGUUCCGACCCGCACGAAAGGCGUAACGAUCUGGGCACUGUCUCAACGAGAGACUCGGUGAAAUUAUAGUACCUGUGAAGAUGCAGGUUACCCGCGACAGGACGGAAAGACCCCAUGGAGCUUUACUGUAGUUUGAUAUUGAGUGUUUGUGUCACAUGUACAGGAUAGGUAGGAGCUGAAGAAUCCGGGACGCCAGUUUCGGAGGAGGCAACGGUGGGAUACUACCCUUGUGACAUGACCACUCUAACCCGCACCCCUUACCGGGGUGGGAGACAGUGUCAGACGGGC